GACGAGGUGGCCGAGUGGUUAAGGCGAUGCACUGCUAAUCCAACGCAUGGGUUCAAAUCCCAUCCUCGUCG